rnacentral:lncRNA from 1 species
CUAUGGGUCACCGUCACGGCUGCUCACACUCAUGGACCCACUGCUGCCCCUCGGCGUGCUGCUCAAGUGCCUCAGCGCCUAUACAGGUGGGUAUGGGGGGCUAUGGGGUGAUAUGGGGCUGAGAUGGGGUAGUUAUGGGGCUCUAUGGGGCUCUAUGGGUCCCUAUGAGUCUCUAUGGGACUCUAUGGGUCUCUAUGGGUCACUAUGGGGCUCUAUGGGUCACUAUGGGGCAGCUGUGGGUCCCUAUGGGGCAGCUAUGGCUCUCUAUGGGGCAGCUAUGGCUCUCUAUGGGUCCCUUUGGAUGACUAUGGGUCUCUAUUGGGCUCUAUGGGUCCCUAUGGGUCUCAAUGGGGCACCUAUGGGUCUCUAUGAGUCACUAUGGGGCAGCUAUAAGGCACUAUGGGGUCUCUAUGGGACACUAUGGGGCAGCUAUGGGUCCCUAUGGGUCCCUAUGGGUCUCUAUGGGGCUCUAUGGGUCUCUAUGGGGUAUCUGUGGGUCUCUAUGGGGCACUGUGGGGCUCUAUGGGCCCCUACGGGUCUCUACAGGGCAGCUAUGGGGCAGCAAUGGGUCUCUAUGGGGCUCUAUUGGGCUCUAUGGAUCCCUAUGGGUCACUAUGGGGCACCUACGGGGCUCUAUGUGUCCCUAUGGGUCUCUAUGGGUCUCUAUGGGUCUCUAUGGGUCACUAUGAGGCAGCUAUGGGUCUCUAUGGGUCCUUUUGGAUGACAAUGGGUCUCUAUGGGUCACUAUGGGUCCCUAUGGGGCAGCUAUGGGGCAGAUAUGGGUCUCAUUCUUUGCUAUGGGGCAGCUAUGGGACUCUAUGGGUCUCUUUGGUUGUUAUGGGGCAGCUAUGGGUCCCUAUGGGUCCCUAUGGGUCCCUAUGGGGCUCUAUGGGUCUCUAUGGGACACUAUGGGGCUCUAUGGGGUUCUAUGGGUCUCUAUGGAUCCCUAAGGGUCUCUAUGGAUCCCUAUGGGUCGCUAUGGGGCAGCUAUGGGUCUCUAUGGGUCCCUAUGGGGCAGCUAUGGAUCCCUAUGUGUCUCUGUGGGUCUCUAUGAGUCGCUAUGGGGCUGCUAUGGACCCCUAUAGGGCAUCUAUGGGUCACUAUGGGUCUCUACAUGGCAGCUAUGGGGCAGAUAUGGGUCUCUAUGGGUCUCUAUGGCUCUCUUUGGGUCUCUGUGGGUCACUAUGGGGCACCUAUGGAUCCCUAUGGGUCACUAUGGGGCACCUACGGGGCUCUAUGUGUCCCUAUGGGUCUCUAUGGGUCUCUAUGGGUCACUAUGGGGCAGCUAUGGGUCUCUAUGGAUCCUUUUGGAUGACAAUGGGUCUCUAUGGGUCACUAUGGGUCCCUAUGGGUCACUAUGGGUCCCUAUGGGUCUCUAUGGGUCUCUAUGGGUCCCUAUGGGUCUCUAUGGGGCAGCUAUGGGUCUCUAUGGGGCAGCUAUGGGGUAGCUAUGGCUGCUCACACUCAUGGACCCACUGCUGCCCCUCGGCGUGCUGCUCAAGUGUCUCAGUGCUUACACAGGUGGGGCGCUAUGGGGCAGAGAUGGGGCUAUAUGGGGUAGUUAUGGGGCACUAUGGGGCUCUAUGGGGCUCUAUGGGGUAGUUAUGGGUCUCUAUGGGUCCCUAUGGGGCUCUAUGGGUCUCUGUGGGUCACUAUGGGGCAGCUAUGGCUCUCUAUGGGUCACUACAGGGCAGCUAUGGGGUCGCUAUGGGGCUCUAUGUGUCUCUAUAGGUUUCUAUGGGUCCCUAUGGGUCUCUAUGGGUCCCUAUGGGUCUCUACAGGGCAACUAUGGGGCAUCAAUGGGUCCCUAUGGGUUGCUAUGGGUCACUAUGGGGUAUCAAUGGGUCUCUAUGGGUCACUGUGGGGCAGCUAUGGGUCUCUAUGGGGUAGCUAUGGGUCUCUAUGGGUCUCUAUGGGUCUCUAUGGGGAGCUAUGGGUCACCGUCACGGCUGCUCACACUCAUGGACCCACUGCUGCCCCUCGGCGUGCUGCUCAAGUGUCUGAGCGCGUACACAGGUGGGUAUGGGGCAGAUAUGGGGUGAUAUGGGGCGCUAUGGGGUAGUUAUGGGGCUAUAUGGGGUAGUUAUGGGGCUCUAUGGGUCCCUAUGGGGCUCUAUGGGGCACCUAUGGGUCUCUAUGGGGUAGAUAUGGGUCUCUAUGAGUCCCUAUGGGUCCCUAUAGGGCAUCUAUGGGGCUCUAUGGGGCUCUAUGGGUCCCUAUAGGCCCCUAUGGGUCCCUAUGGGGUCGCUAUGGGGCAGCUAUGGGACUCUAUGGGGCAGCUAUGGGGCUCUAUGGGGUCUCUAUGGGACACUAUGGGGCAGAUAUGGGUCCCUAUGGGUCGCUAUGGGGCAGCUAUGGGGCUCUAUGGGUCUCUAUGGGUCCCUAUGGGUCACUAUGGGGCUCUAUGGGACACUAUGGGUACCUAUGGGGUAGCUUAUGGGUCCCUGUGGGUCUCUAUGGGGCUCUAUGGGUCCCUAUGGGUCCCUAUGGGUAUCUGUGGGUCACUAUGGGGCUCUAUGGGGCUAUAUGGGUCCCUAUGGGGCUCUUUGGGGCUCUAUGGGUCCCUAUGGGUCUCUGUGGGUCGCUAUGGGGCAGCUAUGGG